rnacentral:rRNA from 1 species
AUUGAACGCUGGCGGCAGGCCUAACACAUGCAAGUCGAACGAGUGGCGGACGGGUGAGUAAUGUCUGGGAAACUGCCCGAUGGAGGGGGGUAACUACUGGAAAAGGUAGCUAAUACCGCAUACACUCGGAUGUGCCCAGAUGGGAUUAGCUAGUAGGUGGGGUAACGGCUCACCUAGGCGACGAUCCCUAGCUGGGCUGAGAGGAUGACCGGCCCCACUGGAACGGAGACACGGUCCAGACUCCUACGGGAGGCAGCAGUGGGGAAUAUUGCACAAUGGGCGCAAGCCUGAUGCAGCCAUGCCGCGUGUAUGAAGAAGGCCUUCGGGUUGUAAAGUACUUUCAGCGAGGAGGCGUUACUCGCAGAAGAAGCACCGGCUAACUCCGUGCCAGCAGCCGCGGUAAUUC